AACCUUAUAGUCAAUAAAAUGAUAAUAGAUUGCAAGUCUGGAGUAGUAAAGUACUAAGGUUU
rnacentral:tRNA from 1 species